GACGAACGCUGGCGGCGUGCUUAACACAUGCAAGUCGAACGGAAAGGCCCUGCUUUUGUGGGGUGCUCGAGUGGCGAACGGGUGAGUAACACGUGAGUAACCUGCCCUUGACUUUGGGAUAACUUCAGGAAACUGGGGCUAAUACCGGAUAGGAGCUCCUGCUGCAUGGUGGGGGUUGGAAAGUUUCGGCGGUUGGGGAUGGACUCGCGGCUUAUCAGCUUGUUGGUGGGGUAGUGGCUUACCAAGGCUUUGACGGGUAGCCGGCCUGAGAGGGUGACCGGCCACAUUGGGACUGAGAUACGGCCCAGACUCCUACGGGAGGCAGCAGUGGGGAAUAUUGCGCAAUGGGCGGAAGCCUGAUGCAGCAACGCCGCGUGCGGGAUGACGGCCUUCGGGUUGUAAACCGCUUUCGCCUGUGACGAAGCGUGAGUGACGGUAAUGAGUAAAGAAGCACCGGCUAACUACGUG
rnacentral:rRNA from 1 species